CAGGGGGUAGUUUAAGGCAGAACCUUGGCUUUGGGAGCCAAGGGUGGGAGUUCAAUCCUCCCCCCUCUGA
rnacentral:tRNA from 1 species